UGAGGAAUAUUGGUCAAUGGACGAGAGUCUGAACCAGCCAAGUAGCGUGCGGGAUGAAGGCCCUCCGGGUCGUAAACCGCUUUUAGACGGGGAUAAAAGGGCGUACGUGUACGCCGUAUUGCAUGUACCGUCAGAAAAACGGACCGGCUAAUUCCGUGCCAGCAGCCGCGGUAAUACGGAAGGUCCGGGCGUUAUCCGGAUUUAUUGGGUUUAAAGGGAGCGUAGGCGGACUUUCAAGUCAGUGGUAAAAUCGUGUGGCUCAACCAUACCUCGCCAUUGAAACUGGAAGUCUGGAGUGCACACAGGGGUGCCGGAAUUCAUGGUGUAGCGGUGAAAUGCUUAGAUAUCAUGAAGAACUCCGAUCGCGAAGGCAAGUGCCCGGGGUGCAACUGACGCUGAGGCUCGAAGGUGCGGGUAUCGAACAGGAUUAGAUACC
rnacentral:rRNA from 1 species